UUACGUUCAAAUCACGCUGAAACACCGGUUCUCGUACGAUCACCGAAGUUGAGCAGCGUAGAGCCAGGUCAGUACUUAGAUGGGGGACCGCUUGGGAACACCUGGUACUGUAAG
rnacentral:rRNA from 1 species